UACGUAGGCAGCAAGCGUUGUUCGGAGUUACUGGGCGUAAAGAGUGCGUAGGCGGUCCUGUAAGUUUGGUGUGAAAUCUCCCGGCUCAACUGGGAGGGUGCGCCGAAGACUGCAGGGCUUGAGUAUGGGAGAGGUAAGCGGAAUUCCUGGUGUAGCGGUGAAAUGCGUAGAUAUCAGGAGGAACACCUGUGGUGUAGACAGCUUACUGGACCAUAACUGACGCUGAGGCACGAAAGCGUGGGUAGCAAACAG
rnacentral:rRNA from 1 species